rnacentral:misc_RNA from 1 species
GUGAAUCAUCAAAUUUUUGAACGCAAAUUGCGCUUCCUGGCAUCCCGGGAAGUAUGCCUGUUUGAGGGUCAGUAUUAACAAAAAAUCGGUUUGGUUGCAAAUUGUGCCGUUUCCGGAGUUUGGUCUAUCUUAACUUUUUUUAUUAAGAGUCCUAAAAUUGACCUUUUUUGCGCAAUUUUAGACGUACAUAAAUUUUUUUUCUAUCCGUCUAUUCUAAAAACCAAAAUCUGU